ensembl:snRNA U6 U6 spliceosomal RNA
GUGCUUAAUUGUGCAGCACAUAUGCUAAACUAGAACCAUACAGAGAUUAGCAUGGCCCCUGCCCAAGGAUGUCACACAAAUUUGUGAAGGGUUCCUUAUUUUU